GACGAACGCUGGCGGCGUGCCUAAUACAUGCAAGUCGAGCGGACGAUUCGAAAGCUUGUUUUUGAAUCGUUAGCGGCGGACGGGUGAGUAACACGUGGGCAACCUGCUCUGUAGACGGGGAUAACACCGAGAAAUCGGUGCUUACACCGGAUAACACGAAAUGUCGCAUGACGUUUCGUUGAAAGGCGGCGCAAGCUGCUGCUACAGGAUGUGCCCGGGGCGCAGUGGCUGGUUGGUGGGGUAACGGCUCACCAAGGCGACGAUGCGUAGCCGAACUGAGAGGGUGAUCGGCCGCACUGGGACUGAGCCACGGCCCUGGCUCCUGCGGGAGGCAGCAGUAGGGAAUCUUACGCAGUGGACGGAAGUCUGACGGAGCAACGCCGCGUGAGCGAAGGAGGCCUUCGGGUCGUAAAGAUCUGUUGUUAGUGGAGAACAGGUAACGUAGUAACUGACGUUACUAUGACGGUACCGAACGAGAAAGCCACGGCUAACUACGUG
rnacentral:rRNA from 1 species